AGAGCCAAGUUCCUAUCCUUGAUAGAGAACCAAUGUACAAUUGGUAUCUACAGCGAUAUCCGGGCCAGUUCCCCGCCACCUCGAGUUGAAACAACGGGCAUGUCUGGUUCGAAGAAGAUUGAAGAUCAGUGACUCCCAGGAUAAACAUUGACAAUACGAAUGACUGAGUGAUUAUGUUUUUUUUAUUAUUAUUAUUGAAAUGGAGAAUAAUUUUAUUUUCCUCUCU